rnacentral:sRNA from 1 species
ACACGAGAAAGGAGGUGGUCCAGCGUUGAAUACCAGCAGGACUCGUGAGGUGGAUGCCCGCUAGGCCGCCCGAUCGGUGUACGACGCCGACGGCCUGACGCGCCGUCCUCCGGCCACACACCGGGGGUGCGCGACGGGGAAAACGGUCGGUGAAUACCAGGCAGUCACCCGGCCCUCGGAGUGCCGAGCUUCAGUCCGGCUCGGCCCCGCGCCCUCGUGGGCGUGGGAGCCACUCCGGGGGCCGUCCGGG